rnacentral:rRNA from 1 species
ACGCAUCUGUGCAUGCAGCAUAUCAAUAAGCGGAGGAAAAGGAGUAUACCUACGCUUAGGAUGUUGAAGAUGUAGCACAUCAUACGCGCAUGACACACCGCAUAUCAAUAAGCGGAGGAAAAGAGGGCUAUUACCUACGCUUAGGAUGUUGAAGAUGUAGCACAUCAUACACGCAUGACACACUGCAUAUCGAUAAGCGGAGGAAAAGGAGUAUACCUACGCUUAGGAUGUUGAGAUGUAGCACAUCAUGCACGCAUGACACACUGCAUAUCAAUAAGCGGAGGAAAAGAAACUAACAAGGAUUCCCCUAGUAACGGCGAGUGAAGCGGGAAGAGCUCAAAUUUGAAAUCUUAAAGGGUUUCCCUUUACGAAUUGUAGUUUAAAGAAGUGUUUUCUGUUGAGGUUUUGGUAAAAGUUCUUUGGAAUAGGACAUCAUAGAGGGUGAGAAUCCCGUAUUUGACCUUUACUUUCAACUUUGUGAUACACUUUCAAAGAGUCGGAUUGUUUGGGAAUGCAGUCCAAAAUGGGUGGUAAAUUUCAUCUAAAGCUAAAUAUUGGCGAGAGACCGAUAGCGAACAAGUACCGUGAGGGAAAGAUGAAAAGAACUUUGAAAAGAGAGUUAAACAGUACGUGAAAUUGUCAAAAGGGAAGCGUUUGACACCAGUGUUGUUUUUCUGAAAAUCAAUUAAAGGAACUGUUUAUGCUAAGUUGUUUAGACUUUAUCAGCUAAUCUGCUUAGUUUUGAGCUUUUCUUUAAUGCACUUUUCAGUUAACAAGUCAACAUCAAUUUCUUUUGCUGUAAAAAAGCUUGAGGAAGGUGGCUUGAGAUUCGUCUUAAGUGUUUAUAGCCUCUUGCCUAUGCAGUCGGAGAGAUUGAGGUCUGCAGCGUAGAUCCUUCGGGGCUAAAUGCAUUUGUGCUAAGUUAUAGCAUUUUAUAGACAACUUGUUGACUAUGAUUUGUCUUGUAGCUUACUCGCUUAUGCUAUUUUACCUACGCUUAGGAUGUUGAAGAUGUAGCACAUCAUACACGCAUGACACACUGCAUAUCAAUAAGCGGAGGAAAAGUCAACUACCUACGCUUAGGAUGUUGAGCGCAUGUCUCUCUCU